AUAAGUUUUUAAAGAAUGGUGCUGAGUUUUAUGCCAUUGAUGUGCCUGAAGAAGACGUUAAAAAUGCGAAAAGAUACUUGGAAGAACUUUUAAAGAGAGACAUUUUUUACUUUAUUCCACCAAGUAACGCGAUUUCUGAAAAUAACUUAGAAAGCCUAUGUAGUAAUAAGUUGUCCUUAUUGAGUUCAGCAAAUCCGGUAUUUAAGAAUAAAAUAAGUAAGUUUGUGUUUCUAUAUGGAAAAUAUUGUAAAAUUGAACAUUUGAGUCAAUGUUUAUUGAAAAAAUAUCAGAAAUGGAAUAGCAGUUUUCGUGGUGUAAAUAUUAUUAACUCUGUAACAUUUGGACCGGGAAUGAACAGGGAAGAUUUUAUUAAAAAAUAUGAACGCAUCGCUAGAUUUAAUGGGUUUAUUAGUAUCGCAACACACUAUCAUGCUCUAAAUCGCGAUGAAAAGCAUAAGCAAGAUCUCUUUUAUAUUGUCGACUACUUUAUUAAUAAGUAUGAAGGGAGAAUGGCAACUAUUCAGGAUAUAUCUAAC
rnacentral:rRNA from 1 species